rnacentral:tRNA from 1 species
GCAACAAUAGUAUAGUGGUUAGUAUCUUCGCUUCCCAGACAUGGCGCAGGUAACUGCGAGCGAAUCGCGAUGGACAGGGGUUCGAAUCCCCUUUGUUGCA